GGAGGAAGCUACUAAGGGCUUACGGUGGAUGCCUAGGCGCCAAGUGCCGAUGAAGGACGUGGGACACUGCGAUAAGCCUCGGGGAGCCGUGUACAGGCGUUGAUCCGGGGAUCUCCGAAUGGGGUAACCCGCCAGAGCGAACCUCUGGCAUCCUCCAGCUGAACACAUAGGCUGGGGGAGGGGAACCUGGGGAACUGAAACAUCUAAGUACCCAGAGGAAAAGAGAACAUUCCCCUAGUAGUGGCGAGCGAACGGGGAACAGCCCAAACCGUCCGUGCUUGCACGGGCGGGGUUGUAGGGCCUGGCAUAUGGAAGUCAAAAAAUCGUUGGUUAGCAGAAAGGUGUGGGAAAGCCUGCCAGAGAGGGUGAUAGCCCCGUAUGCGAAAACCAACGAUCUUCCGCCAGGACCCUGAGUACUGCCGGGCACGCUAAUCCGGCAGGAAGCUGGGGAGUCCACUCUCCAAGGCUAAAUACACUUGGCGACCGAUAGUGCACAAGUACCGUGAGGGAAAGGUGAAAAGUCCCCCUGUUAGGGGAGUGAAAUAGAACCUGAAACCGUAAGCUUACAAGCAGUCGGAGGGCUAACAGCGUGCGGUGCUCCGGGGAAACCCGGGUGCGCGGCGCUAGGCCUGACGGCGUGCCUCUUGGAGAAUGAGCCUGCGAGUUAAUCUCAGCGGCGAGGUUAAGGGAGUGACACCCGAAGCCGUAGCGAAAGCGAGUCUGAAUAGGGCGUAGAGUCGCUGGGAUUAGACCCGAAACCGGGUGAGCUACCCAUGGGCAGGGUGAAGCGCGUCUAAACACGCGUGGAGGCCCGAACCCACUAACGUUGCAAAGUUAGGGGAUGACCUGUGGGUAGAGGUGAUAUGCCAAACGAACCCGGAGAUAGCUGGUUCUCCCCGAAAUAGCUUGAGGGCUAGCGUCAUGCGUUCAGUAUCGGAGGUAGAGCACUGGAUGGGCUAGGGGGCUUCCCGCCUACCGAACCCAACCAAACUCCGAAUGCCGAUACUCCACAGCAUGGCAGUCGGACUACGGGUGAUGAGAUUCGUGGUCGAGAGGGAAACAGCCCAGAUCAUCGGCUAAGGUCCUCAAAUCCAGGCUAAGUGGGAAACGAGGUGGGGUUACUUAAACAACCAGGAGGUUGGCUUAGAAGCAGCCAUCCUUUAAAGAGUGCGUAAUAGCUCACUGGUCUAGUGACCCUGCGCGGAAAACUUAACGGGGCUAAAGCCUGGUACCGAAGCCAUGGGCCUCAGCCUAGCUGGGGCGGUAGGGGAGCGUUCCGUUCGCGGGGAAGGUUGACCGCGAGGGCAGCUGGAGCGAACGGAAGUGAGAAUGCAGGCAUGAGUAGCGUACAAACACGUGAGAACCGUGUUCGCCGUAAGUCUAAGGUUUCCGACGCCAGGUCAUUCCGCGUCGGGUUAGUCGGGCCCUUAGCCGAGGCCGAAAGGCGUAGGCGAUGGACAUCCGGUCAACAUUCCGGAACCGCUCAGAGGGAGCGAUGGGGGGACGCAGUGAGGUAGGUCAGCCUGCGAUUGGUCGUGCAGGUGCGAUUCGCGUCAGGCGUUGAGGCCGGUAGGAAAAUCCGCCGGCUGAGCUGAGGCGAAAAGCGAGCCGUAAGGCAUAAGUGGCCGAGCCUGGCUGCCGAGAAAAGCCCCUAAGCGUCGAUCUCUGAGCGCCCGUACCGCAAACCGACACCGGUAGACGGGUGUAGUACACCAAGGCGAUCGGGAGAACCCUCGUUAAGGAACUCGGCAAAUUGACCCCGUAACUUCGGGAGAAGGGGUGCCUGCGCAAGCAGGCCGCAGAGAAAUGGCUCCAGCGACUGGUUAACAAAACCACAGGUCUCUGCUAAGCCGUAAGGCGAAGUAUAGGGGCUGACGCGUGCCCAGUGCCGGAAGGUUAAGGGGAGGGGUUAGCCGCAAGGCGAAGCUCCAAACCGAAGCCCCGGUGAACGGCGGCCGUAACUAUAACGGUCCUAAGGUAGCGAAAUUCCUUGUCGGGUAAGUUCCGACCCGCACGAAUCGCGUAACGACUGGAGCACUGUCUCGACGAGGGACCCGGUGAAAUUGAAAUGGCUGUGAAGAUGCGGCCUACCCGCAGCAGGACAAAAAGACCCCGUGGAGCUUUACUGCAGCUUGGCAUUGCGUUUGGGUAUGGUCUGUGUAGGAUAGGUGGGAGGCUAUGAAGCUGGGGCGCCAGCCUCGGUGGAGCCGCCGGUGAAAUACCACCCUGAUCAUGCUUAGACCCUAACCCCACGCCGUCAUCCGGGUGGGGGACCGUGCCAGGUGGGCAGUUUGACUGGGGCGGUCGCCUCCUAAAAGGUAACGGAGGCGCCCAAAGGUUCCCUCAGGGUGAAUGGAAACCACCCGUAGAGUGUAAAGGCAGAAGGGAGCUUGACUGCAAGGCCAACGCGCCGAGCAGAGACGAAAGUCGGGCUUAGUGAUCCCACGGUACUGAGUGGAAGGGCCGUGGCUUAACGGACAAAAGCUACCCCGGGGAUAACAGGCUGGUGAGGUCCAAGAGUUCACAUCGACGACCUCGCUCGGCACCUCGAUGUCGGCUCAUCGCAUCCUGGGGCUGGACAAGGUCCCAAGGGUCGGGCUGUUCGCCCGUUAAAGCGGUACGCGAGCUGGGUUCAGACCGUCGUGAGACAGGUCGGUCUCUAUCCGCUGUGGGCGUAAGGGACUUGAGGGGAGCUGCUCCUAGUACGAGAGGACCGGAGUGGACAGACCUCUGGUGUGCCAGUUGUCGCGCCAGCGGCACCGCUGGGUAGCCAUGUCUGGCAGAGAUAACCGCUGAAAGCAUCUAAGUGGGAAACUCGCCCCAAGAUCAGGUCCCUGUGUUCCCGUCAAGGGAGUAAGACCGCAGGUAGACUACCUGCUUGAUAGGCGGCAGGUGGAAGCGCAGUAAUGCGUUAAGCCAAGCCGUACUAAUGGUCGAGGGCUUCCCUG
rnacentral:rRNA from 1 species